rnacentral:rRNA from 1 species
GAUGAACGCUGGCGGCGUGCCUAAUACAUGCAAGUCGAGCGAACAGACGAGGAGCUUGCUCCUCUGACGUUAGCGGCGGAUGGGUGAGUAACACGUGGAUAACCUACAUAUAAGACUGGGAUAACUUCGGGAAACCGGAGCUAAUACCGGAUAAAAUAUUGAACCGCAUGGUUCAAUAGUGAAAGACGGUUUUGCUGUCACUUAUAGAUGGAACCGCGCCGCAUUAGCUAGUUGGUAAGGUAACGGCUUACCAAGGCAACGAUGCGUAGACGACCUGAGAGGGUGAUCGGCCACACUGGAACUGAGACACGGUCCAGACUCCUACGGGAGGCAGCAGUAGGGAAUCUUCCGCAAUGGGCGAAAGCCUGACGGAGCAACGCCGCGUGAGUGAUGAAGGUCUUCGGAUCGUAAAACUCUGUUAUUAGGGAAGAACAAAUGUGUAAGUAACUAUGCACGUCUUGACGGUACCUAAUCAGAAAGCCACGGCUAACUACGUG